GACGAACCGUACGAACGUUAUUCGGAAUCACUGGGCUUAAAGGGUGCGUAGGCGGCGCAGUAAGUUGGGUGUGAAAUCCCUCGGCUUAACCGAGGAAUUGCGCCCAAAACUACUGUGCUCGAGGGAGGUAGAGGUGAGCGGAACUUAUGGUGGAGCGGUGAAAUGCGUUGAUAUCCUAAGGAACACCGGUGGCGAAAGCGGCUCACUGGACCUCUUCUGACGCUGAGGCACGAAAGCCAGGGGAGCAAACGGG
rnacentral:rRNA from 1 species